AGUGUAUGAGCCCGCGGCACGCUAGUUUAGUUACCAUAUAAUAUUUUGGGUACUUUUUUUAGUGUAUAUGCAAUAAUGCUAUUUUAGUGUGAAAAAUAAUUUCUGCACUCCAAUUUUAUUUUCUGCACUCUAUUUUUUGAUUUUUGUACUCCAUUUACCAUAUAUGUGCAAGGAUCAAAAAUUAAAAUGACGCAAGAAUAUAAAACAAAAACAAAGUAAUUAAAAUUAUACCUUUUGAUUCUCUUGGAUAUCAGUAGCUUACAAGAAAGAGAAAUUAUACAAGAGAGAG
rnacentral:lncRNA from 1 species